rnacentral:rRNA from 1 species
CGCCAGACUCCUACGGGAGGCAGCAGUGGGGAAUAUUGCACAAUGGGGGAAACCCUGAUGCAGCGACGCCGCGUGAGUGAAGAAGUAUUUCGGUAUGUAAAGCUCUCUCAGCAGGGAAGAAAAUGACGGUACCUGACUAAGAAGCCCCGGCUAACUACGUGCCAGCAGCCGCGGUAAUACGUAGGGGGCAAGCGUUAUCCGGAUUUACUGGGUGUAAAGGGAGCGUAGACGGCAUGGCAAGUCAGAUGUGAAAGCCCGGGGCUCAACCCCGGGACUGCAUUUGAAACUGUCAGGCUGGAGUGCAGGAGAGGUAAGUGGAAUUCCUAGUGUAGCGGUGAAAUGCGUAGAUAUUAGGAGGAACACCAGUGGCGAAGGCGGCUUACUGGACUGUAACUGACGUUGAGGCUCGAAAGCGUGGGGAGCAAACAGGAUUAGAUACCCCAGUAU